rnacentral:rRNA from 1 species
UACGUAGGGUGCGAGCGUUAAUCGGAAUUACUGGGCGUAAAGCGUGCGCAGGCGGUUUUGUAAGACGGAUGUGAAAUCCCCGGGCUUAACCUGGGAAUGGCAUUCGGGACUGCAAGGCUGGAGUGCGGCAGAGGAGACUGGAAUUCCUGGUGUAGCAGUGAAAUGCGUAGAUAUCAGGAGGAACACCGAUGGCGAAGGCAGGUCUCUGGGCUGACACUGACGCUCAUGCACGAAAGCGUGGGGAGCAAACAGG